GGAGGGAGUAGCGAAGCUUUUUAACCAAACGCGGGUGGCUGUAACCCACUUCCUCACGGUUCGGGGGUUCAGAAUCCCUCCCCCUCCACCA
rnacentral:tRNA from 1 species